rnacentral:rRNA from 1 species
GAGUUUGAUCCUGGCUCAGAUUGAACGCUGGCGGCAUGCCUUACACAUGCAAGUCGAACGGCAGCAUGAUCUAGCUUGCUAGAUUGAUGGCGAGUGGCGAACGGGUGAGUAAUACAUCGGAACGUGCCCUGUAGUGGGGGAUAACUAGUCGAAAGAUUAGCUAAUACCGCAUACGACCUGAGGGUGAAAGUGGGGGACCGCAAGGCCUCAUGCUAUAGGAGCGGCCGAUGUCUGAUUAGCUAGUUGGUGGGGUAAAGGCCCACCAAGGCGACGAUCAGUAGCUGGUCUGAGAGGACGAUCAGCCACACUGGGACUGAGACACGGCCCAGACUCCUACGGGAGGCAGCAGUGGGGAAUUUUGGGCAAUGGGCGAAAGCCUGAUCCAGCAAUGCCGCGUGUGUGAAGAAGGCCUCGGUUGUAAG